rnacentral:rRNA from 1 species
GAUGAACGCUGGCGGCGUGCCUAACACAUGCAAGUCGAACGGAAAGGCCCUGCUUUUGCGGGGUGCUCGAGUGGCGAACGGGUGUGUAACACGUGAGUAACCUGCCCUUGACUGUGGGAUAACUUCAGGAAACUGGGGCUAAUACCGGAUAGGAGCUCCUGCUGCAUGGUGGGGGUUGGAAAGUUUAGGUGGUUGGGGAUGGACUCGCGGCUUAUCAGCUGGUUGGUGGGGUAGUGGCUUACCAAGGCUUUGACGGGUAGCCGGCCUGAGAGGGUGACCGGCCACAUUGGGACUGAGAUACGGCCCAGACUCCUACGGGAGGCAGUAGUGGGGAAUAUUGCACAAUGGGCGGAAGCCUGAUGCAGCAACGCCGCGUGCGGGAUGACGGCCUUCGGGUUGUAAACCGCUGUCGCCUGUGACGAAGCGUGAGUGACGGUAAUGGGUAAAGAAGCACCGGCUAACUACGUG